rnacentral:rRNA from 1 species
GUGAGGAAUAUUGCGCAAUGGAGGCAACUCUGACGCAGCCAUGCCGCGUGCAGGAAGAAGGCGCUACGCGUUGUAAACUGCUUUUAACCGGGAAGAAACCCCAGGACGUGUCCUGGGUUGACGGUACCGGAGGAAUAAGCACCGGCUAACUUCGUGCCAGCAGCCGCGGUAAUACGAAGGGUGCAAGCGUUAUCCGGAUUCAUUGGGUUUAACGGGUGCGUAGGCGGAGCGUUAAGUCAGUGGUGAAAUCCUGCAGCUUAACUGUAGACUUGCAAUUGAUGCUGGCGCUCUUGAGUGCGCUUGAAGUAGGCGGAAUGUGCCGUGUAGCGGUGAAAUGCUUAGAUAUGGCACAGAACACCAAUUGCGAAGGCAGCUCACUAAGGCGAUACUGACGCUGAGGCACGAAAGCGUGGGGAUCGAACAGGAUUAGAAACCCUAGUAGUCC